CAGGAUGGCUGCGACCCGCUGCAGGAUCAGUGCGCUCCUCUCCUGAGCCGGGAACCUUUACCCUCCCUGUUCGGACCGCAGGGGCCCGGAACAGCAGGAAGAGACCUCUGCCCGCGAACUCAGAUCCCAGGAGGGCCGGUCAGACUCUGCAUGGGUGUCCAUUCAUGGGAGAGAGGAGACCCGUAUCAAUACUCACUUGAAACCACUCAACGCCUGGCGGCCUCUCGCACUGCAGAACUGACUGAUAUUGAUUCGGAUUGAGGCAUCUGCUGCAUUUUAGCAAGCGCCCUAUUUAAUCUCCGUGUCCUGUGCCGCUGUCUCGUCCUUGUCCCUUUUCAAAGUCACAGUGAUUUGGAACCCACUUAGGGCUUUUAGUUUGAUGGGCCGGCGCUCUGCAGCGCGCUGACCUCUAGACCGACCAGAGUUUCCCCCUUUUCUUUCUGCAAUUAUUUUUUCCUCCACAAUUUCCUUUUUGAAUAUUUAAACACGUAAAAAUGUAAGGUAACCAAAACAAACUACCAAAAGUAAAAAAUAAAAAAUAAAGCGUUGCAAGUUUUUUUGUAUACAACGCCCUUACAGAAUGAGAGUAAAAUGUCUGCAGAGUGUGGCUUUCAAACUACUGGACUGAGAUAAACGACAGGGGAGGGGGACCCCACAAUCCAGACAGCAACCAGCCGGUCGGUCCUCUCGGAGUAGGAGGAAGGCUGCAGCCCGCCAGGCUUUAGAGACCGGCCUGCCAACCAACCCUUCAGUGCACGCCUUAUAUUUAGUGUGGGGAAAAUUACCAAUCGGAAAUUUGGUCCACACAAACCCCGGGUUGGCAAGUAAAAUCCAGGCCCGGUUAUGGAUGCAGAGGUCGAAGGCAGCGAGCGUCGCUGCAUUUCCUGGUGGCUCCGUGACACAGCCAUCAAUAAUAUGGGCCGGCUUUAGGUCGCUGUUUGUAGACGGGUGAAGAACUUAAGCCGCCCACAGCAGCCUCUCAACCCCCUCCCCGAAGGUUUUCUCUUCCUGACCCUGAAAGUUGAGGGCAGCUCUGGGUGUGUUGUUGCCCAAGAGGAAACUGAGCAGCCUGCAGGUAGAACAGACGCAAAAAUGUGAAGCACGGACCUUCGUUGGGAAACGCAGUUUAAGAAAUGCAGCUAGAGCAUUUUCUAAAUCAGACGCUUACGUGCCUGACGUUAAUUUUCUGUGGGAUCCGACUCAAAGCUGGGUAUUUUGAAACACCUUUACUGGAACUAAUUGAUGGAGUUAAAGACAUAAUUAAAUUUUACAAGCUGAAAGAA